UACAGAGACCUCAAGCGUUAUCCGGAAUCAUUGGGCGUAAAGCGUACCGAUAGGUGGUUGAAAUAGUCUUGGGUAAAAGCCGGAAGCUCAACUUCCGCGUUUGCUUAAGAUACUUUUCGACUAGAGGGGCAAAGAGGUGAUUGGAACGAACGGUGUAGUAGUGAAAUGCGUUGAUAUCGUUCGGAACACCGAAAGCGAAGGCAGACCACUGGGUGCCACCUGACACUGCUAGGACGAAAGCGUGGGGAGCGAAUGGG
rnacentral:rRNA from 1 species